rnacentral:lncRNA from 1 species
GUAUAUUGAAGAGGUAUUGAAAUGAUUCAAUGUGAAAGAGUGUAAGCCUAUUGAAACAUCUUUGAAAGCUAAUUUGAAGUUAAUAAAGCUUACAGAUGAAGAGUUUAUUGAAGUUGAAAGUGAAAUACAAUACAUAUCAAAGGAUAGACCAAUUCAUUAGAAAAAUGUUAAAAAAAAUAUGGGGUAUUUAAAAAAUACUUUGUACUUAAAG